rnacentral:rRNA from 1 species
UGGGGAAUAUUGGACAAUGGGCGAAAGCCUGAUCCAGCCAUGCCGCGUGUGUGAAGAAGGUCUUCGGAUUGUAAAGCACUUUAAGUUGGGAGGAAGGGCAGUAAGCGAAUACCUUGCUGUUUUGACGUUACCGACAGAAUAAGCACCGGCUAACUCUGUGCCAGCAGCCGCGGUAAUACAGAGGGUGCAAGCGUUAAUCGGAAUUACUGGGCGUAAAUCGCGCGUAGGUGGUUCGUUAAGUUGAAUGUGAAAGCCCCGGGCUCAACCUGGGAACUGCAUCUAAAACUGGCGAGCUAGAGUAGGGCAGAGGGUGGUGGAAUUUCCUGUGUAGCGGUGAAAUGCGUAGAUAUAGGAGGGAACACCAGUGGCGAAGGCGACCACCUGGGCUCAUACUGACACUGAGGUGCGAAAGCGUGGGGAGCAAACAGG